UCGACAGUUGAUUGUGCUGCUGUGAAAUGCUUCGGUCCUCCCCUGGUUGAAGGCUGCACAGCAAAGGGAUCUCCGGGAUCUUGCUGCCCUAAAUGGAGGUGCAAGCCUGUGUGUGAUGAUGGGACCAAGUGUAAGCCUUUUACCUUCCCCGACUGCCAACCUGUGUUUACUAACGAGACCUGUUGCCCAUCCUGCAGAGGCUACAAUUAAAUGAAGGAGCCGACACCAUGGUUGCGAGUGUCAAGGAAGCAUCAGGAGAAAUGACUUUGAAAAAUGAAAAAAACAUUAGAUUUAAAGUGCAAAAAAUACAAUAUUUAAUCUAGUUUUGCUGAUAGCCAUUUUAACACAGAGUUUUUUGUUUUUGUUUUUUCAAAAUGUAAAUGUAAAUCUGAUUUUAAUUGGAUCAUUAUAGCACUGUGUUUUUGAUUGGUUUUCAUUGGUUUAAUUUCAAUGAAUCUAAACGUAUC